ACUUGUUACGACGAUGACAGCCAACCGUGACGACCAAAUACUCGGAGAAUGAUGCACGCGAUGACGUUACAAACGCGGUAAUGUAAACCGAAAUUUGCGUUUGCUGAAAUCAUCGGAAAACAAAAAAAAAAAAUACGAUCGGCAUGGUGACGUACUGAUCAGUCGACACGCGUACAGAUUUAGCAGACCGACGUCGUAAACAAUACGAUUAAAAAUUUAUAAAUAACAGACAGGUAGAGAGGUAUCUACGAAUAUUUUAAGCAACGGCGACGUUUUUACUAACGUUGAGGUGAAUUUCAUAAAAUUAUAAUUCGAACGAAAAAAUUACGUCGACGAAUCUGGACCAUUGUGCUCCAUCGACCUAUAGCGAGCACAUUAAGAGUCAAGGACGGUAAUAAUAUACAGAAUUGUACUUUUUUUGGUCAACAUUUGAAUUGUUAAUGUAUAACGAUCGUAAUAACUGCCUAAAUAUACAAUACGUAGAUUGCAGUAAACAACCUUAUGUUUGCAAAAUUACACAGUUCACAAAUUGGGAAUGCAAUCAGUAUACUCGCUACAGAAAGAUAAUUUUGAACAGAUACCUACCUAGUUUAAAUCAAGUCAAUAAAUACAUCUAUUUUACACAGCAUAGCAGAAAAAUUACGAAAAUACAAAAACACGGUAAGGCACUUACGCACGACCUUCACAUAUGGUCCGAUUAUAUUAUCGCCGUAAUCGAAUUUCCGG